rnacentral:rRNA from 1 species
GACCUCGGAUCAGGUAGGAAUACCCGCUGAACUUAAGCAUAUCAAUAAGCCGGAGGAAAG